CGGCAACAGCUCAAAUUUGAAAUCUGGCCCCCCGCGGGCCCGAGUUGUACUUUGNUAGAGGACGCUUCUGGCGCGGCGCCGUCCGAGUUCCCUGGAACGGGACGCCGGAGAGGGUGAGAGCCCCGUACGGGCGGCCGCCUAGCCUCUGCGAAGCUCCUUCGACGAGUCGAGUAGUUUGGGAAUGCUGCUCAAAAUGGGAGGUAAAUUUCUUCUAAAGCUAAAUACCGGCCAGAGACCGAUAGCGCACAAGUAGAGUGAUCGAAAGAUGAAAAGCACUUUGAAAAGAGGGUCAAACAGUACGUGAAAUUGUUGAAAGGGAAGCGCCUGUGGCCAGACUUGCGCCCCGCGGACCACCCGGCGCCUCGCGCGCCGGGGCACGCCAGCGGGGCGCAGGCCAGCAUCGGCUCUCUCGGGGGGACAAAGGCCGCGGGAACGUAGCGCCCUCGCGGCGUAUUAUAGCCCGCGGCGCCAUGCCCCCGGGGGGGCCGAGGACCGCGCUCCGGCAAGGAUGCUGGCGUAAUGGCCACCGGCGACCCGUCUUGAAACACGGACCAAGGAGUCAAGCAUUGGGGCGAGUGUCUGGGUGGCAAGCCCGCACGCGGAAUGAAAGUGAACGCAGGUGGGAGCUUCGGCGCACCACCGACCGAUCCUGAUGUCCUCGGAUGGAUUUGAGUAGGAGCCCCGCCGCUUGGACCCGAAAGAUGGUGAACUAUGCCUGUAUAGGGUGAAGCCAGAGGAAACUCUGGUGGAGGCCCGCAGCGGUUCUGACGUGC
rnacentral:rRNA from 1 species